rnacentral:rRNA from 1 species
CACUCGGGGAAUAGCGUUACAACGGCGAGUGAAGCGGCAAAAGCUCAAAUUUGAAAUCUGGCACCUUCGGUGUCCGAGUUGUAAUUUGAAGAAGGUAACUUUGGAGUUGGCUCUUGUCUAUGUUCCUUGGAACAGGACGUCACAGAGGGUGAGAAUCCCGUGCGAUGAGAUGCCCAAUUCUAUGUAAAGUGCUUUCGAAGAGUCGAGUUGUUUGGGAAUGCAGCUCUAAGUGGGUGGUAAAUUCCAUCUAAAGCUAAAUAUUGGCGAGAGACCGAUAGCGAACAAGUACAGUGAUGGAAAGAUGAAAAGAACUUUGAAAAGAGAGUGAAAAAGUACGUGAAAUUGUUGAAAGGGAAGGGCUUGAGAUCAGACUUGGUAUUUUGCGAUCCUUUCCUUCUUGGUUGGGUUCCUCGCAGCUUACUGGGCCAGCAUCGGUUUGGAUGGUAGGAUAAUGACUAAGGAAUGUGGCUCUACUUCGGUGGAGUGUUAUAGCCUUGGUUGAUACUGCCUGUCUAGACCGAGGACUGCGUCUUUUGACUAGGAUGUUGGCAUAAUGAUCUUAAGCCACCCCCCUUUAAAACACA